CCUGCCUCAGAUUUGCAAAUACUAGAGAUUACAGGAUGUGCCACCACACCCAAUUUAAGCAACUAAAUUUGUGGUAAUUUUUUUUUUUUUGGUACCGGGGAUUGAACUCGGGUCCUUAGCUUGCAAGGCAGGCGGUGGAACCACUGAGCUAAAUCCCUGGCCCAAAUCUGUGGGAUCGAACUCGGGACCUUGUGCUUACAAGGCAGACAGUGGAACCACUGAGCUAAAUCCCCGGCCCUGAGGGAUCAAACUUGGGACCCUGCGCUUGCAAGACAGACGUAGGAAACACUGAGCUAAAUCCUCGGCCCUCGGAGGUGAAUUUUGAAGGAACAAACCACAGGUGCCUUCUCUGUUGCUAGCACUUGUCUCCCAACUGCACACACCCUCUCUGGUUCUUGGUGCAAAUGAGUAAGUGGAAAGUCAUCUAAUGCUCUGCUACCGGGUGACAUGUUUUACCAAACACUCCUCUGUUGCUCACCAUAAUUAUCUGUAUUUACGUAUAAGCUGCAUUCUUCUCACCAUCUGUCUCAUUUGGAGGUGGCAGAUUUCCAAAUUCC
ensembl:lncRNA